rnacentral:rRNA from 1 species
GACGAACGCUGGCGGCGUGCCUAAUACAUGCAAGUCGAACGCUGAAGGAGGAGCUUGCUUCUCUGGAUGAGUUGCGAACGGGUGAGUAACGCGUAGGUAACCUGCCUGGUAGCGGGGGAUAACUAUUGGAAACGAUAGCUAAUACCGCAUAAUAGUAGAUGUUGCAUGACAUUUGCUUAAAAGGUGCAAUUGCAUCACUACCAGAUGGACCUGCGUUGUAUUAGCUAGUUGGUGAGGUAACGGCUCACCAAGGCAACGAUACAUAGCCGACCUGAGAGGGUGAUCGGCCACACUGGGACUGAGACACGGCCCAGACUCCUACGGGAGGCAGCAGUAGGGAAUCUUAGGCAAUGGAAGGAAGUCUGACCGAGCAACGCCGCGGGAGUGAAGAAGGUUUUCGGAUCGUAAAGCUCUGUUGUAAGAGAAGAACGAGUGUGAGAGUGGAAAGUUCACACUGUGACGGUAGCUUACCAGAAAGGGACGGCUAACUACGUG